GAAUGGCUCAUUAAAUCAGUUAUCGUUUAUUUGAUAGUACCUUACUACAUGGAUAACCGUGGUAAUUCUAGAGCUAAUACAUGCUAAAAACCCCGACUUCGGGAGGGGUGUAUUUAUUAGAUAAAAAACCAACGCCCUUCGGGGCUUCUUGGUGAUUCAUAAUAACUUAACGAAUCGCAUGGCCUUGCGCCGGCGAUGGUUCAUUCAAAUUUCUGCCCUAUCAACUUUCGAUGGUAGGAUAGUGGCCUACCAUGGUAUCAACGGGUAACGGGGAAUUAGGGUUCUAUUCCGGAGAGGGAGCCUGAGAAACGGCUACCACAUCCAAGGAAGGCAGCAGGCGCGCAAAUUACCCAAUCCCGACGCGGGGAGGUAGUGACAAUAAAUACUGAUACAGGGCUCUUUUGGGUCUUGUAAUUGGAAUGAGUACAAUUUAAAUCCCUUAACGAGGAACAAUUGGAGGGCAAGUCUGGUGCCAGCAGCCGCGGUAAUUCCAGCUCCAAUAGCGUAUAUUAAAGUUGUUGCAGUUAAAAAGCUCGUAGUUGAACCUUGGGCCUGGCUGGCCGGUCCGCCUCACCGCGUGCACUGGUCCGGCCGGGCCUUUCCUUCUGGGGAGCCGCAUGCCCUUCACUGGGUGUGUCGGGGAACCAGGACUUUUACUUUGAAAAAAUUAGAGUGUUCAAAGCAGGCCUUUGCUCGAAUACAUUAGCAUGGAAUAAUAGAAUAGGACGUGCGGUCCUAUUUUGUUGGUUUCUAGGACCGCCGUAAUGAUUAAUAGGGAUAGUCGGGGGCAUCAGUAUUCAAUUGUCAGAGGUGAAAUUCUUGGAUUUAUUGAAGACUAACUACUGCGAAAGCAUUUGCCAAGGAUGUUUUCAUUAAUCAGUGAACGAAAGUUAGGGGAUCGAAGACGAUCAGAUACCGUCGUAGUCUUAACCGUAAACUAUGCCGACUAGGGAUCGGGCGAUGUUAUCAUUUUGACUCGCUCGGCACCUUAC
rnacentral:rRNA from 1 species